UUCCUGCUUCGGUAGGACACAUACUAAAAUUGAAAUGAUGCAGCGUGACCCCCUGCUCAGGGAUGACAUGGAAGUUUGUGAAGCAUGCUGAAUUUGC
ensembl:snRNA U6 U6 spliceosomal RNA